rnacentral:rRNA from 1 species
GAUGAACGCUGGCGGCGUGCCUAACACAUGCAAGUCGAGCGAUUUACUUCGGUAAAGAGCGGCGGACGGGUGAGUAACGCGUGGGUAACCUGCCCUGUACACACGGAUAACAUACCGAAAGGUAUGCUAAUACGAGAUAAUAUACUUUUAUCGCAUGGUAGAAGUAUCAAAGCUUUUGCGGUACAGGAUGGACCCGCGUCUGAUUAGCUAGUUGGUAAGGUAACGGCUUACCAAGGCGACGAUCAGCAGCCGACCUGAGAGGGUGAUCGGCCGCAUUGGAACUGAGACACGGUCCAAACUCCUACGGGAGGCAGCAGUGGGGAAUAUUGCACAAUGGGCGAAAGCCUGAUGCAGCAACGCCGCGUGAGCGAUGAAGGCCUUCGGGUCGUAAAGCUCUGUCUUUGGGGACGAUAAUGACGGUACCCAAGGAGGAAGCCACGGCUAACUACGUGCCAGCCGCCGCCGUAACAC